UACGAAGGGGGCUAGCGUUGCUCGGAAUCACUGGGCGUAAAGGGUGCGUAGGCGGGUCUUUAAGUCAGGGGUGAAAUCCUGGAGCUCAACUCCAGAACUGCCUUUGAUACUGAGAAGCUUGAGUCCGGGAGAGGUGAGUGGAACUGCGAGUGUAGAGGUGAAAUUCGUAGAUAUUCGCAAGAACACCAGUGGCGAAGGCGGCUCACUGGCCCGGUACUGACGCUGAGGCACGAAAGCGUGGGGAGCAAACAGG
rnacentral:rRNA from 1 species